rnacentral:rRNA from 1 species
GCACAAGCGGUGGAUGAUGUGGAUUAAUUCGAUGCAACGCGAAAACCUUACCUACCCUUGACAUGUCCGGAAUCCUGCAGAGAUGCGGGAGUGCCGAAAGGGAAUCGGAACACAGGUGCUGCAUGGCUGUCGUCAGCUCGUGUCGUGAGAUGUUGGGUUAAGUCCCGCAACGAGCGCAACCCUUAUCAUUAGUUGCUACGCAAGGGCACUCUAAUGAGACUGCCGGUGACAAACCGGAGGAAGGUGGGGAUGACGUCAAGUCCUCAUGGCCCUUAUGGGUAGGGCUUCACACGUCAUACAAUGGUCGGUACAGAGGGUUGCCAAGCCGCGAGGUGGAGCCAAUCCCAGAAAGCCGAUCGUAGUCCGGAUUGUUCUCUGCAACUCGAGAGCAUGAAGUCGGAAUCGCUAGUAAUCGCGGAUCAGCAUGUCGCGGUGAAUACGUUCCCGGGUCUU